CCUUCUCUUCCUCCCUAUCAACUUCCCUGCAGACCCACCGGUUAUCACAUCGAUCACAUGCCUUGGCGGUAGUACUGGAGCCCUUUGAACCGUCUGAACAACACGGUUAAUGUUCUGCUGAUUAUCUACGGCCACAUACUGCACCAACAAGCCAUCUUUAAUCUUCCUCUCCACAAAGUCUUUCAAAUUGCAACACUCGUUAGUGUCGUGGCCAGCGGCCUGAUGAUAGCCACAAUACUUACGAGAGUUACCCUGCCCAGUUCGGUAGUUAUCACGGGGUGGCUCAAAGAAAGGUUGAUUUCUAAUUUGAUCCAGAAUUAUCGAUCUAUCAGUGUUUAGUUUGGUGUAGAUCUUAUUCACCUUCGGGGCCGGAACGGAG
rnacentral:lncRNA from 1 species